GCUGGUCACAGUGGGAGUGGUGGUCUUUCUGGCUCUAAUACUCAUCACAGCAGCUCUGUGGAGGUGCAGUGUAAUCAGGAGGAAGAGAGGAGCAGAGAGAGACACAGAUAUUCAGACUCCAGAUCCUGCAGACCACACAUACACAGCUCUGAAUCCCACCACCAUGACCUCAGAUUAUGACACUCUACAACUUCUUACAGACUCUCCCAGUCACACAUACACAGCCUUAAACACUGAAACCAUGUGCUUUGAUUACGACACUCUGACAGGUGUGAAGGCUUCACACAGUGAGCAUCAGAGAAGAGCUCCAGCCGCAGAUUAUGAAAACUUACAGAGACCCUCACCAUAGAAACCCCCUCAAUUACACUCAAAUUAGCUUCUAUUAUAUUCUGUCAAACUCAAAUCAGUCCUCACAUACAUAAAAGCCCUGUUAGGGUUAUAUUAGUUUACAGACCUGGAUGUUUAUAUUUCAUGUCAUCAUUGAAAACUGUAAGUUUAUGUCAGUAAUGCUUUAUACUUGUAGCUGCAGGCGCUCUAUAGUGCGCUAAAUGUUAAAGGUUCUACACUCGAUAUUUUAAACAUUAACAGCAAACAAUUUGACUGAAUAUUCUUUGAAGCUGACGAGGCUUUCAAAUAUUCUUCCACUGAAUAUUUCUCAGAGUUGAUGAGACUUUUAAAAACUCCUCCACUGAAUCAUCCUCAAAGUUGACGAGGCUGAAGUUUGGCUUCCUAUUCGCAUUUUCCUGUUCCACCUUAAAUCGUGCAGCAGUUCCAUUCUGCGCCUGAGGUGCCUGAAUAUAACUGGCACAUCAUUUAAGAUGGAGCGGGAAAAUUCUAACAAGAAGCUGGUGAGUAAGAAGCUGACCUCAGCUUCAUGGAGAGAGUUGACCGGCAUGAAAAGGAAUAAGAAGGUUGCCCUGUUUCUGCUUGACAGGUGGACAACAUUACCUUAUUUUUGCUGUUUCACAGAACCAGUAGGUCAGUAUGUUUUGUCCAGUUUGCUAACGUUAGCUACGUUACUUGCUGUGUGGUUGUUUAUUUUAAUGUUGCAUUGUGGUAUUUGUCUGUACAAUGUUUGCAAAGAGUUUUAUGGCCACAAAAAAACUAAAAAAACGGGUUUGCUAGCCCAGUGUCAUUCACCUUGGCAAUGUGCUUUGAGGGGCGGAGCUUCUGAUGGAACACUGAAGGGAGUUGUGUAUUUAUUUUGCUCUUGAGUGGAAACAUCAACAGUUGUUCUCCACAAUCGUAUAGUGCACCUUUAAAUAUGAAGUUGUGCAACCUGUGUCUGAAUAUAAAUAGGAUUCAUUUAGACAUAUAAUGCACUGUUUGGGUGUGGAAGCUGUUAUUUCAUGACUUUCAUGGUGCACUACAAAGGCAGUAGUUAAUGGUUGAGAGAAUCUUCCAAAGCUCCCAUCAUUUCAUGAAUUUUCUUGUGUUAAUGGAUCCUUGCACCAGUAGACAAAGUAACUGCCAUAUUUUUUAAAUGUGAGAUGACAUCUACCUGGACAAUCAUGGAGAUGUGGAUCUCAACAGGACUAAAAUGCUCAGACCACCAAUGAGUUCAAUGAAAAACAGCAGAUAGGAGGGAGAAAAACAUCGACAGAGCUGACAGAAAUAAAAUCACAGAGCAGAAGCUGUAAAAGAGGAAAUUACUCCAGAACACCAUGUACAUUUAAUCCCAUCUGAAUCAGACUGAAGAUCAGAUUUCAUACACAACUCUGAGUGUAUCAGUUCAAAUCACUCCUAAACACACUGUCAUGUAAGAGCUGGACAGAAUUCCAAAACGUGUAGAAAACAGUAAAGCCCCCCACUAUGAACUUAAGCCCCUUAGUGCAGUAAUAGGGCUUAGUCACAUGCAGUGACGUUCUGAGUGGACACUCUUAUGAGCUUUUAUA